UGGGGAAUAUUGCACAAUGGGCGCAAGCCUGAUGCAGCCAUGCCGCGUGUAUGAAGAAGGCCUUCGGGUUGUAAAGUACUUUCAGCGGGGAGGAAGGUGUUGUGGUUAAUAACCACAGCAAUUGACGUUACCCGCAGAAGAAGCACCGGCUAACUCCGUGCCAGCAGCCGCGGUAAUACGGAGGGUGCAAGCGUUAAUCGGAAUUACUGGGCGUAAAGCGCACGCAGGCGGUCUGUCAAGUCGGAUGUGAAAUCCCCGGGCUCAACCUGGGAACUGCAUCCGAAACUGGCAGGCUUGAGUCUUGUAGAGGGGGGUAGAAUUCCAGGUGUAGCGGUGAAAUGCGUAGAGAUCUGGAGGAAUACCGGUGGCGAAGGCGGCCCCCUGGACAAAGACUGACGCUCUGGUGCGAAAGCGUGGGGAGCAAACA
rnacentral:rRNA from 1 species